rnacentral:rRNA from 1 species
GUCUACAGCCAUGCUACCCUGAACAAGCCUGACCCCAUCUGAUCAUGGAAGCUAAGCAGGGUUGGGCCUAGUUAGUACUUGGAUGGAAGACAACCCAGGAAGACCAGGUGCUGUAGGCA